rnacentral:rRNA from 1 species
GAUGAACGCUAGCGGCAGGCCUAACACAUGCAAGUCGAGGGGUAGAGGCUUUCGGGCCUUGAGACCGGCGCACGGGUGCGUAACGCGUAUGCCAUCUGCCUUACACUGGGGGAUAGCCCAGAGAAAUUGGGAUUAAUACCCCAUAGUAUUUUUGCCUGGCAUCAGAGGAUUAUUAAAGUUUUUCGGUGUAAGAUGAGCAUGCGUCCCAUUAGCUAGUUGGUAUGGUAACGGCAUACCAAGGCUAUGAUGGGUAGGGGUCCUGAGAGGGAGAUCCCCCACACUGGUACUGAGAUACGGACCAGACUCCUACGGGAGGCAGCAGUGAGGAAUAUUGGUCAAUGGGCGAGAGCCUGAACCAGCCAUGCCGCGUGCAGGAUGAAGCAUCUAUGGUGUGUAAACUGCUUUUGUACGGGAGGAAACACCUCUACGUGUAGAGGCUUGACGGUACCGUAAGAAUAAGGAUCGGCUAACUCCGUGCCAGCCGCCGCUGUAACAC